rnacentral:misc_RNA from 1 species
UCCGGUUUGGCACCGGCAGUCCUCCCAGAGUCCUCGACAUGACUCGCUAGCAACUGGGAGCGGGGGUUGCGCUCGUUGCGGGACUUAACCCAACAUCUCACGACACGAGCUGACGACAGCCAUGCAGCACCUGUCUACGAACUCCGAAGAGGGCCCCGGCUUUCACCGGGGUUUCUCGUAGAUGUCAAGCCCAGGUAAGGUUCUUCGCGUUGCGUCGAAUUGAACCACAUGCUCCGCUGCUUGUGCGGGUCCCCGUCAAUUCUUUUGAGUUUUAGCCUUGCGGCCGUACUCCCCAGGCGGAACACUUAUCGCGUUGGCUGCGGCACAGACAGAUUCGACUCCGCCCACACCUAGUGUUCAUCGUUUACGGCGUGGACUAC